AGAAAGAGAGAGAGAGAGAGAGAUUAGAUUUUGCAUAAAUGUCGCAAUGGUGGCGUUAGAGUACGGUCACCGCCACAAAUCGGAACAAGCAAAGAAGUAAAUUAACGCCCCACGCACACAUCUGUCACUGCCGUAACGCGAAGAUCGGGUGCCGCUACUUCGCCUCCUCUCCGCCCAUAAUUCUCCUCCUUGUUCGACCCAACUCCAAAAACAAAAACUUUUCAUAAAGAGAGACAGACCCCGAUCCCCCACUGCGGUUUCUCCUUAUUUAUUAUCUAUCUCUGCCAGGUAUGCUUCUCCAUCUCUCCUUUUUAUGGCUCUCCUGAUUCCCAUUUUCUCUCUCAUGCUUUUUUCUUGUAUAAGAUCGUGUAAAAUUUGGGUAUUUUCAUCCAUCCUUAUCCAAAUCCGUUUUAUAGGGUUUGCAUUUUUAGUGGGUUGAUCGGCGAUUUAUUUUUUGAUUUUUCAUUUUCCUUGCAGAACUACUGAUAUUUUGCUUGUCAAAUUUUUAUUAUUAUUUUUUUAAUCUAAGACUAGGGUACGUCUAAAAUUUAUUUACAUCAAUAUUUAAAAAGUUUUGAUUUUUGGCAUUUGGUUGCGUGCCCUUUGGAAUUGUUUAGCUGCUACUCAUGGUGCGUGGUUUGAAAAAAUUUUGGUGUAUUUUGAUUUACACUUAUAAUGACACAAGCAUUAUCUCUAGUUAUUUCACUUCAAACUGCUACUCAAAAAUGGGAAAUUUAAGCUUAAAAAUGGCUUUAAGCUUUCUCAUUUUAAAUACAACAUGCCACUCUUGCAGGUGCUGUGAGUUGCUUUUUAGGAUUGGGUAGGUGUGUGAUUAUGGCUUAUUUCAUUGCAAUAAGCUGUUAAGAACAUUUUCAUUGCGAAUGUUUUGUCAGGUCGUAAUAGGUUGCGUAGAACAUUUUCUAUUGGGAACGCCUAGUUGCUGAAAUAAUUAUGUUGUAGCUUCAUACUUCUGAAAAUAUUUGAAACUUAAAUAAGACGUUAUUUUGUGACUCUGUAUUCUGAUUCUCGAGUUGAGAAGAAAAAUACAUUUUUUUGAUAUUGAAGGCAUGGUUUUAAAUCCCGAUCACAGUUACGGUCUUAAUGUCGUGGUAACAGUUUGGGGCUACCUAAUUUUAUUUUA
rnacentral:misc_RNA from 1 species